UUAUUGUUUGACCUUUCACAGUUCCUCCAGGUGUCCAUAACAUCAAGCAUAAUUUUGAUGUUUCUUAACCUUUUGCAUUCUACUCUAAUCAUGUGUGCUGACAGAUUAAUCUAAAGCAUCAAGAUCUGUAAGUGCUCGUGGGUCCUCAAGGUGCUGGUUCGUGAGCUCAGUUUGUUUGGGACAUCAAAGGUUAUCUUGGGCGAUGUGCAUCAACAAAGAAGUUUACAAUUGCAAUGAGAUUGUUUUGAGGACAAAUCUACCGACCGAGGAGCACGCUAGCCAGGUAUACACAGGAGAAGUGUAUGAACUGUCUGUGCAAACCAUAUGUGAAUCUGAACCCUUCUUAGUGGAGGCAGUAAUUGCCAACUUGAAAUACAUAGCACCGCAUCCCAACAGUAAAACCAGGGAAAAAUGAUCUAGGUUGGAAUAUGGGGUCAAUGUUAGAGAAGACGGUGAAGCAUUCAUGUGCAUGUGCAAGGAGCAGGAGAUCCUGUGUUGCCAUGCCGUCAAGGUGAUGAUCCACCUGGGUGUGCGUGAGAUACCAAGGUUACAUGUUGUGCCACCAAGUUGCCACAGAGCCCUGGUGAAUCGCAGAUGGAUAGUGAGCUAUGAAAGCACUCCGUGAUGCAUGUUAAGUUCUGAGACCUGGCGCAUGACCCUUGUGAUGAUGAAGGGUCCUGGGCCUACAAAGUUGUCAUGAAGGGCCUCGACAGACUGGACCCAGACCUAACCGCGCCAAAGGCCAUGACCCG